rnacentral:rRNA from 1 species
AGGGAAACAGCCCAGACCACCAAUUAAGGCCCUAAAUAAUUGCUUAAUGACAAAGGAUGUAAUUGUACACAUACAAUCAGGAGGUUCGCUUAGAAGCAGCUACCCUUUAAAAAUCGCGUAAUAGCGUACUGAUCAAGUGCUUUUGCGCCGAAAAUGUACGGGACUAAGUAAUUUGCCGAAGUUGUGGGAUAAUAUCGGUAGAAGAGCGUUCUGUUUUAGUGUGAAGCAAUAGUGUAAAUAGUUGUGGACAAAGCAGAAGUGAGAAUGUCGGCUUAAGUAACGAAAACGUCAGUGGAAAUCUGACGCCCCGAAAAUCUAAGGAUUCCUAAGCAAGGUUCGUCCACUUAGGGUUAGUCAGGACCUAAAAUGAGGUUUAAAAACGUAAUUGAUGGAAAACGGGUUAAUAUUCCCGUACUGCUAUUUAUAUGGUUAGGAUUGACGAAGAAGGCUAUACCAUCCGAACAUUGGUUGUUUCGGUUUAAUCUUUCAAGGUGUUGAGAAGCAGAAAAAAUGCUUUGAGCUGAGAAGAAAAUACGAGAGAUACUACGGUAUUGCAAGUGGUAAAUGUCAAGCUUCCUAGAAAAGAUUCUAUAAUUGCUUUAAAUAGUACCUGUACCUUAAACUGACACAGGUAGAUUGGUAGAGAAUACCAAGGGGCGCGAGAUAACUCUUUCUAAGGAACUCGGCAAAAUGACUCUGUAACUUCGGGAGAAAGAGUGCCAUAUUUAUAAUAUGGUCGCAGUAAACGGACCCAAGCGACUGUUUACCAAAAACACAGGUCUCCGCUAAGUUGAAAAACUAUGUAUGGGGGCUGACGCCUGCCCAGUGCCGGAAGGUUAAAGAAAUUGGUUAGCUUACGCGAAGCUGGUGACUGAAGCCCUGGUGAACGGCGGCCGUAACUAUAACGGUCCUAAGGUAGCGAAAUUCCUUGUCGGGUAAGUUCCGACCCGCACGAAAGGCGUAACGAUUUGGGUACUGUCUCGGAAAGAGACUCGGUGAAAUAGAAUUGACUGUGAAGAUGCGGUCUACUCGCACUUGGACAGAAAGACCCUAUGAAGCUUUACUGUAACUUGAAACUGGUUUUGGGCUUUUUUUGCGCAGUAUAGGUGGGAGGCGUUGAUCCUCUUUUUCGGAAGUUGGUGAGCCGUAAUGUGAGAUACCACUCUAAAAAAGUUAAAAAUCUAAUGACAUUUUUUUAACAAGAUGAUUGACACUUUCAGGCGGGCAGUUUUACUGGGGCGGUAGCCUCCUAAAAGGUAACGGAGGCGUACAAAGGUUUUCUCAGUCUGGACGGAAAUUAGCUGGAGAGUGUAAAGACAUAAGAAAGCUUGACUGUGAGACCUACAAGUCGAACAGAGACUAAAGUCGGUCUUAGUGAUCCGACGGUGCUGUGUGGAAAGGCCGUCGCUCAACGGAUAAAAGUUACUCUAGGGAUAACAGGCUGAUCUCCUCCAAGAGUUCACAUCGACGAGGAGGUUUGGCACCUCGAUGUCGGCUCAUCGCAACCUGGGGCGGAAGUACGUCCCAAGGGUUGGGCUGUUCGCCCAUUAAAGCGGUACGUGAGCUGGGUUCAGAACGUCGAGAGACAGUUCGGUCCAUAUCCGGUGUGAGCGUUAGAGUAUUGAAAGGAGCUUUCCUUAGUACGAGAGGACCGGGAAAGACGCACCACUUAUGUACCAGUUUUUGUGCCAACAGAAUACGCUGGGUAGUAAUGUGUGGAGUGGAUAACUGC